UACGUAGGGGGCUAGCGUUGUCCGGAUUUAUUGGGCGUAAAGCGCGUGUAGGCGGCCAGAUAGGUCUGCUGUGAAAACUCGAGGCUCAACCUCGAGCUGUCGGCGGAAACCAUCCGGCUAGAGUCCGGAAGAGGAGAGUGGAAUUCCUGGUGUAGCGGUGAAAUGCGCAGAUAUCAGGAGGAACACCGGUGGCGAAGGCGGAUCUCUGGGCCUUACCUGACGCUGAGGCGCGAAAGCUAGGGGAGCAAACAGG
rnacentral:rRNA from 1 species